GCAUAAUCACUAGUUUUUUAAUUGAAGACUUGAAUGAAGGGUCGGACGAGAAGCUAGCUGUCUUUAUUGAAAGGAUUGAAUUUAACUUUUAAGUGAAAGGGCUUAAAUAUUUUGAGGGGACGAUAAGACCCUAUAAAAUUUAACGAUUGUGAAUUAAUGGGGGGAGUAUUAUAAGGUUAAAAGUAUUAUUAAAGGGUGUAUUGUUUUGUUGGGGCGACAGGAAUAAAAAGUAAAUUAACUGUUCUUUAAUUGGAUUUAGUGAUGAUUGUAGUUUAUGAUCCCUACUAGGGAUUGAGAGAGUAAAUUACUUUAGGGAUAACAGCGUAAUUUUUUUUGAGAGUUCUUAUCGAUAGAGAAGUUUGCGACCUCGAUGUUGAAUUAA
rnacentral:rRNA from 1 species